GGCCAGAUGGCCGAGCGGUCUAAGGCGCUAGCUUAAGGUACUCUACCUGAUCGCUAGUCCGAAAGGGCGUGAGUUCGAAUCUCACUCUGGUCA